CGUAAUAGCUCACUGGUCGAGUCGGCCUGCGCGGAAGAUGUAACGGGGCUAAACCAUGCACCGAAGCUGCGGCAGCGACACUGUGUGUUGUUGGGUAGGGGAGCGUUCUGUAAGCCUGUGAAGGUGUGUCGUGAGGCAUGCUGGAGGUAUCAGAAGUGCGAAUGCUGACAUAAGUAACGAUAAAGCGGGUGAAAAGCCCGCUCGCCGGAAGACCAAGGGUUCCUGUCCAACGUUAAUCGGGGCAGGGUGAGUCGACCCCUAAGGCGAGGCCGAAAGGCGUAGUCGAUGGGAAACGGGUUAAUAUUCCCGUACUUGGUGUUACUGCGAAGGGGGGACGGAGAAGGCUAUGUUGGCCGGGCGACGGUUGUCCCGGUUUAAGCGUGUAGGUGUGUGUUCCAGGUAAAUCCGGUUCACUUUAACACUGAGGCGUGACGACGAGGCACUACGGUGCUGAAGCAACAAAUGCCCUGCUUCCAGGAAAAGCCUCUAAGCAUCAGGUAACAUCAAAUCGUACCCCAAACCGACACAGGUGGUCAGGUAGAGAAUACCAAGGCGCUUGAGAGAACUCGGGUGAAGGAACUAGGCAAAAUGGUGCCGUAACUUCGGGAGAAGGCACGCUGACACGUAGGUGAAGUGAUUUACUCAUGGAGCUGAAGUCAGUCGAAGAUACCAGCUGGCUGCAACUGUUUAUUAAAAACACAGCACUGUGCAAACACGAAAGUGGACGUAUACGGUGUGACGCCUGCCCGGUGCCGGAAGGUUAAUUGAUGGGGUCAGCGCAAGCGAAGCUCCUGAUCGAAGCCCCGGUAAACGGCGGCCGUAACUAUAACGGUCCUAAGGUAGCGAAAUUCCUUGUCGGGUAAGUUCCGACCUGCACGAAUGGCGUAAUGAUGGCCAGGCUGUCUCCACCCGAGACUCAGUGAAAUUGAACUCGCUGUGAAGAUGCAGUGUACCCGCGGCAAGACGGAAAGACCCCGUGAACCUUUACUAUAGCUUGACACUGAACAUUGAGCCUUGAUGUGUAG
rnacentral:rRNA from 1 species